rnacentral:rRNA from 1 species
UCGAACGGUAACAGGUUAAGCUGACGAGUGGCGAACGGGUGAGUAAUAUAUCGGAACGUGCCCAGUCGUGGGGGAUAACUACUCGAAAGAGUGGCUAAUACCGCAUACGACCUGAGGGUGAAAGCGGGGGAUCGCAAGACCUCGCGCGAUUGGAGCGGCCGAUAUCAGAUUAGCUAGUUGGUGGGGUAAGAGCCCACCAAGGCGACGAUCUGUAGCUGGUCUGAGAGGACGACCAGCCACACUGGGACUGAGACACGGCCCAGACUCCUACGGGAGGCAGCAGUGGGGAAUUUUGGACAAUGGACGCAAGUCUGAUCCAGCCAUGCCGCGUGUGGGAAGAAGGCCUUCGGGUUGUAAACCACUUUUGUCAGGGAAGAAACGGCUCUUACUAAUAUUAGGAGCUAAUGACGGUACCUGAAGAAUAAGCACCGGCUAACUACGUGCCAGCAGCCGCG